CCUACGGGUUGCAGCAGUGGGGAAUAUUGCACAAUGGGCGCAAGCCUGAUGCAGCCAUGCCGCGUGUGUGAAGAAGGCCUUCGGGUUGUAAAGCACUUUCAGCGAGGAGGAAGGUGGAGAACUUAAUACGUUCAUCAAUUGACGUUACUCGCAGAAGAAGCACCGGCAGACUCCGUGCCAGCAGCCGCGGUAAUACGGAGGGUGCAAGCGUUAAUCGGAAUUACUGGGCGUAAAGCGCACGCAGGCGGUUUGUUAAGUCAGAUGUGAAAUCCCCGGGCUCAACCUGGGAACUGCAUUUGAAACUGGCAAGCUAGAGUCUCGUAGAGGGGGGUAGAAUUCCAGGUGUAGCGGUGAAAUGCGUAGAGAUCUGGAGGAAUACCGGUGGCGAAGGCGGCCCCCUGGACGAAGACUGACGCUCAGGUGCGAAAGCGUGGGGAGCAAACAGGAUUAGAUACCCCAGUAGUC
rnacentral:rRNA from 1 species